GCUAAUGCUGAAGCCUGUGUUGGUAGGGACAUCUGAGAGCGCGGAUGAAUGCCGAUGGCUCUGAUGGA
rnacentral:snoRNA from 1 species